rnacentral:rRNA from 1 species
UAAUACGGAGGUUCCAAGCGUUGUUCGGAAUUACUGGGCGUAAAGGGAGCGCAGGCGGACAGGUCAGUUUAAAGUGGAAUCCCAGGGCUCAACCCUGGACGUGCUUUGGAUACUGCCUGUCUUGAGUUCGUGAGAGGAAAGUGGAAUUCAGGGUGUAGCGGUGAAAUGCUUAGAUAUCCUGAGGAACACCAGUGGCGAAAGCGACUUUCUGGCACGAAACUGACGCUGAGGCUCGAAAGCAUGGGUAGCGAACGGGAUUAGAUACCCCGGUAGUCCAUGCCGUAAACGUUGUAUACUAGGUGCGGGAGGUAUCGACCCCUUCCGUGCCGAAGCUAACGCAUUAAGUAUACCGCCUGGGGAGUACGCGCGCAAGCGUGAAACUCAAAGGAAUUGACGG